AGUGAACGCUAGCGGUGCGCCUAACACAUGCAAGUCGAGUGGGUUUAGACCCACGGCAAACGGCUGCGUAACACGUUGGAACCUGCCCCGGACUCAGAGAUAUCCCUCCGAAAGGAGGAGUAAUACCGGAUGGUCCCGCAAGGGUAAAGCUUUUGCGGUCCGGGAGGGGCCUGCGGCCUAUCAGAUAGUUGGUGGGGUAACGGCCUACCAAGUCGAUGACGGGUAGCUGGUCUGAGAGGACGACCAGCCAGUAUGGAACUGCGACACGGUCCAUACUCCUACGGGAGGCAGCAGUGGGGAAUAUUGGACAAUGGGCGCAAGCCUGAUCCAGCAAUGCCGCGUGUGUGAAGAAGGUCUUCGGAUCGUAAAGCACUUUCGACGGGGACGAUGAUGACGGUACCCGUAGAAGAAGCCCCGGCUAACUUCGUGCCAGCAGCCGCGGUAA
rnacentral:rRNA from 1 species